AGCGGAAGGAAGGGGGCGUGGCCUCCGAGGCUUCUUGGCUGAGUCGAGGGCCUGGGCAUUGUGCAUGAAGCCCACCACAUCGUCCAGACUCCAGCACAGGGCAUCUGCCAACAGGACCAGUGACUCAUCAAAGUACUCGGCCACCAUGACCAGGUCAAAGACUGAGUCCAACCAGGCCAGACCCCAUUGGAUAAAGGAUGAGGGCCUAAAAUCUGAGGAGACAAGGCUGGCUGGCUGCUUGUAACUAUCAGCAGCUGUGGUAACAGGACGGAAGAGAGUUCCAGGGCUAGCACCGGAAGGUACAAUAUGUAGCUGGAGAGAUUUGGGGUCUCUGGGUAGCUGGGGACUCACUUUCAUGGUCUUUGUCUCUGGGGGAGAGGGCAAACCAAAGUCAAACCAUAGUAAGUUACGGGCGUAGUGGUUGCCACGGGCUCCGGGUCUGUAGAAGGCUUGAGGAUUGGACAGGAAGGCGGCCAAAGACGGUGCCUUUCGGAAAGCCGAUGAAACUGAUUUGUAAUAGGAGAAGGCAGAGCGGGCUAGAGCUGCUGGAUCUCGGACAAUGGAAAAGAAGAAGCUAUCAGAAGGCAUGACCUGAAGUACCUGCAGAAGAAAGAAAGAGAGGAAGAGCUUGACUGAGGAGAAAAUGAGUCCAAGCUGAGGCUCUGAUGAGCCGUCAGGCUCUGCUGUACACCCCCAGUUUCCCCUACUAGCUGUGUGAUGUUGGGGAAAUUACAUAGCACCUCUGAAAUUCAAUUUGCUGUCUGCAAAAGGAAAGUAGUCAGAGGUUCCCAGGUAAUUGAGAAUACUCGAAAUAACAGCUAGUCAGAAAUCUAGAACACAAAGCUCUUACUGGUUAUUAAUGUCCUUGGGUUUUUGUGUCUUCGUUGGUAGAGAAAACUCUCAAACCUGGGGCUGGGGAGAUGGCUCAGUCAAUAAAGUGUGUGCCACACAAGCAUGA
rnacentral:lncRNA from 1 species